AUGGAGCUGAAGGGAAGCUCAUUCAUCUUCAUCGGAAUCCUACCAGCUCUGGCGUCUUGGCACCCACACCUGGGAUCAGCUCUUGCCUUGUGGAGGCCAAAGGUGCCUCUUUCCCAGGACCCCGUGUCUGUGGCCUGGGCCCCGUGCAGGAGGCGGGCUGGCCCCUUCGUUCACAAGGGUGCACACGGCUGUCUGGUUGGGAUUCUCCAACGUGAGGAGGGAGCCCUGGCAGCAGCUCUUGGAGGGGGCACGGGAUGCUCCCCUCCCUGUGAAGACCCUCUGGUGGCAAGAGGUUGCCCACAGCUCUCUAAGCCCGGCCUGUGUUGGGCUUUGCCCCACAGCCAGUACCAUCGGGGGCCGGAGCAGUUCUUACGGUGCAUUUGGGACCUGGGACCUGGAGCGCGGGCUACGAGGACUGGGGAGCCCUUCCCACAAGUCUGCCAACAGCUAAAGCAAAGAGGAAUUGCUUUCCUGAAGUCUUCUGGUCCUCAGAAGUCCAGACACCCAAAGGGCCUUCCAAGAGCGAGGGUACCGGCUGGCAGGUGAGCUCUUAAUUGUUAAUUGAUAUCACUUGUACAUGGAAUCUAAAAAAAAUGAUACAAAACAGAAACAGACUCACAGAUUCAGAAACAAAUUUAUGGUUACCAAAGGGGAAACAUGUAGGGAGAGGGAUAAUUAGGAGUUUGGGAUUAAUGUAUAUACACUUGUUGUUCAG
rnacentral:lncRNA from 1 species